UUUAAGAAGGCGGGGCUCUGCCCGGAGGAGGCGGAGAAGUUCCGCCCGCCAGAUCUCCGGCUUCCGGCAACUGGGCUGGACCAGAACCUGCGGGUAUCGUCUAAGGCUCGACCCUCCCCGGGACCUGCUGGACGCCGAGCCCCGCGAGAUGAGGAAACUGAGGCCCCGAGGAGCGCACACACAGCAGAGAAGCAGCAGAAUCGGGAAUCAAACCCAGGUCUGUCUGAUCCCAGAGCCUGUGCCCUUAACCACUGGCUGGGCCGAACUGUCUUCGUUCUUCACUGCCCCCAUCACCUCUCUCAAACCUCAGCCUCUCCUUCCUCAUCCUUCGAUCUCCAGGUUGCGCCUGGUCUUUAAUUCACACAACCCCUGCAAAUUUUCUUCCUCAUAAUUGGGAGAAGACCCCCUGGCUGAAUGGCAGCUGUAGAUGACUUGCAGUUUGAAGAAUUUGGUGGUACAGCCACUUCUCUAGCAGCAAACCCAGAUGCCACCACAAUAAGCAUUGAAGAUCCUCAUGAAACCCCUAAACAUCAGCCAGGACCCUUAAGAGGCUCAGGGAGAGAAGAGGAUGAUGAGUUACUAGGAAAUGAUGACUCUGACAAAACUGAGUUACUUGCUGGACAGAAGAAAAGCUCUCCCUUCUGGACAUUUGAAUACUAUCAGACAUUCUUUGAUGUGGACACUUACCAGGUCUUUGACAGAAUUAAAGGGUCUCUUUUGCCGAUACCUGGAAAAAACUUUGUGAGAUUAUAUAUACGCAGCAAUCCAGAUCUCUAUGGCCCCUUUUGGAUAUGUGCCACAUUGGUCUUUGCCAUAGCAAUCAGUGGGAAUCUUUCCAACUUCUUAAUCCAUCUGGGGGAGAAGACAUACCAUUAUGUGCCCGAAUUCCGGAAAGUGUCCAUAGCAGCCACCAUCAUCUAUGCCUACGCCUGGCUGGUUCCUCUCGCACUCUGGGGUUUCCUCAUGUGGAGAAACAGCAAAGUUAUGAACAUUGUUUCCUAUUCGUUUCUGGAGAUUGUGUGCGUCUAUGGAUAUUCACUCUUCAUUUAUAUCCCCACAGCAAUACUGUGGAUUAUCCCCCAGAAAGCUGUUCGUUGGAUUCUUGUCAUGAUAGCCCUGGGCAUCUCAGGAUCUGUCUUGGCAAUGACGUUUUGGCCAGCUGUUCGUGAGGAUAACCGGCGCAUCGCAUUGGCCACAAUUGUGACAAUUGUGUUGCUUCACAUGCUUCUUUCUGUGGGCUGCUUGGCGUACUUUUUUGAUGCACCAGAGAUGGACCAUCUGCCAACAACUACAGCUACUCCAAACCAAACAGUUGCAGCAGCUAAGUCCAGCUAAUGAGGAAAGAUCCACCCAGACACCCUCUCCUUGGUGAAGUUUUUCUUGACUUUUCCAGUUCUCUGUUAAUGUUUUCUGGAGUGUAAUUCUUUUGGACAUGGCAUCCACUGCAGGAUCCUAGAAUGACCAGAGCCAGCAGGAGAAUUGAUGGAGUGGGACAGACCCCCAGUGUCCGGAUGGUACCACACUGAAACCUAAUCACCUAUUUGACAAACAAAAAUAAAUGUUGCUCAGCACAUGUGUCUUCAGCUCUUCUUUUGUGCCCUUGGAUCUUCAUUGCGACUAUCCGCUGAUUUGGAGUGAAAUGCUAGGGAACGGGUCAGGCAUGCUCAGUGCCCUCCCAUUGCCUCCCAUCAUAUGACAUGCUCCACUGUAGGCACCUGACUACCUUCUGCCUGGAAUAGACCCAUCCUAACUUGUGAUGUCCUUUCUCUGAAUUCUAUACAGAUUCCCUUAGGUGAUCCUCCUGCCUCCAAAUGCUAGCCAUCCUAAAGUAGCCAAACAGUAGAAACUUUGGUUGGGAUUAAUUAUCUUUGCUAACCAGGUACUGCAACUGAGCCUAAUGGUUGCAAAAUAAAUACCUCACAUAAUGUCUGUGUGUCUGCA